GGCCCCGUGAGGUAAUGGAAGCCUGCUAGGCCCUCAACCUGGUCGUGUCGGUUCGACCCCGGCCGGGGCCACCA
rnacentral:tRNA from 1 species